GCACUGCUGAUGAGUCCCGAAGAGGACGAAACACCUGUCCAGUGC
rfam:Echinostoma caproni strain Egypt genome assembly, scaffold: ECPE_scaffold0000972